rnacentral:rRNA from 1 species
AUUGAACGCUGGCGGCGUGCUUAACACAUGCAAGUCGAACGGGUGUAGCAAUACAUCAGUGGCAGACGGGUGAGUAACACGUGGGAACCUUCCUAGGGGUACGGAACAACUCAGGGAAACUUGAACUAAUACCGUAUACGUCCGUGAGGAGAAAGAUUUAUCGCCCUUAGACGGGCCCGCGUCGGAUUAGUUAGUUGGUGGGGUAACGGCCUACCAGUCCUAAGAUCCGUAGCUGAUCUUAGAGGAUGAUCAGCCACACUGGGACUGAGACACGACCCAGACUCCUACGGGAGGCAGCAGUGUGGAAUCUUGGACAAUGGGCGCAAGCCUGAUCCAGCCAUGCCGCGUGAGUGAAGAAGGCCUUAGGGUUGUAAAGCUCUUUUACCAGGGACGAUAAUGACGGUACCUGGAGAAUAAGCCCCGGCAAACUUCGUGCCAGCCGCCGCCGUAAUAC